rnacentral:rRNA from 1 species
UGGGGAAUAUUGCACAAUGGGGGAAACCCUGAUGCAGCGACGCCGCGUGAGCGAAGAAGGCUUUCGAGUCGUAAAGCUCUGUCCUAUGAGAAGAUAAUGACGGUAUCAUAGGAGGAAGCCCUGGCUAAAUACGUGCCAGCAGCCGCGGUAAUACGUAUGGGGCGAGCGUUGUCCGGAAUUAUUGGGCGUAAAGGGUACGUAGGUGGUUUUUUAAGUCAGGUGUCAAAGCGUGGAGCUUAACUCCAUUAAGCACUUGAAACUGAAAGACUUGAGUGAAGGAGAGGAAAGUGGAAUUCCUAGUGUAGCGGUGAAAUGCGUAGAUAUUAAGAGGAAUACCGGUGGCGAAGGCGACUUUCUGGACUUUUACUGACGCUCAGGUACGAAAGCGUGGGGAGCAAACAGG